AUCCCUACGGGAGGCAGCAGUGAGGAAUAUUGGUCAAUGGUCGGGAGACUGAACCAGCCAAGCCGCGUGAGGGAUGAAGGUACAGAGUAUCGUAAACCUCUUUGGACGGGGAGCAAGGCCGCCGACGUGUCGGCGGAAGGAGAGUACCCGUAGAACAAGCAUCGGCUAACUCCGUGCCAGCAGCCGCGGUAAUACGGAGGAUGCGAGCGUUAUCCGGAUUUAUUGGGUUUAAAGGGUGCGCAGGCGGCACGGCAAGCCGGCGGUCAAAUCGCGGGGCUCAACCCCGCCCAGCCGUCGGAACUGCC
rnacentral:rRNA from 1 species